GACGAACGCUGGCGGCGUGCUUAACACAUGCAAGUCGAACGGAAAGGCCCUGCUUUUGUGGGGUGCUCGAGUGGCGAACGGGUGAGUAACACGUGAGUAACCUGCCCUUGACUUUGGGAUAACUUCAGGAAACUGGGGCUAAUACCGGAUAGGAGCUCCUGCUGCAUGGUGGGGGUGGGAAAGUUUCGGCGGUUGGGGAUGGACUCGCGGCUUAUCAGCUUGUUGGUGGGGUAGUGGCUUACCAAGGCUUUGACGGGUAGCCGGCCUGAGAGGGUGACCGGCCACACUGGGACUGAGAUACGGCCCAGACCCCUACGGGAGGCAGCAGUGGGGAAUAUUGCACAAUGGGCGGAAGCCUGAUGCAGCAACGCCGCGUGCGGGAUGACGGCCUUCGGGUUGUAAACCGCUUUCGCCUGUGACGAAGCGUGAGUGACGGUAAUGGGUAAAGAAGCACCGGCUAACUACGUG
rnacentral:rRNA from 1 species